rnacentral:rRNA from 1 species
UGCCAGCAGCCGCGGUAAUACGUAGGGUGCGAGCGUUAAUCGGAAUUACUGGGCGUAAAGCGUGCGCAGGCGGUGAUGUAAGACAGUUGUGAAAUCCCCGGGCUCAACCUGGGAAUUGCAUCUGUGACUGCAUCGCUAGAGUACGGUAGAGGGGGAUGGAAUUCCUGGUGUAGCAGUGAAAUGCGUAGAUAUCAGGAGGAACACCGAUGGCGAAGGCAGCCCCCUGGGCCUGUACUGACGCUCAUGCACGAAAGCGUGGGGAGCAAACAGGAUUAGAUA